CGCACGCCUCGCCUGAGGCGGGUCCGCUCAGCCCAGGCGCCCGCCCCCGCCCCCGCCGAUUAAAUGGGCCGGCGGGGCUCAGCCCCCGGAAACGGUCGUACACUUCGGGGCUGCGAGCGCGGAGGGCGACGACGACGAAGCGCAACAGCGUCAUGGCAGAGCAGGUGGCCCUGAGCCGGACCCAGGUGUGCGGGAUCCUGCGGGAAGAGCUUUUCCAGGGCGAUGCCUUCCAUCAGUCGGAUACACACAUAUUCAUCAUCAUGGGUGCAUCGGUGACCUGGCCAAGAAGAAGAUCUACCCCACCAUCUGUGGCUGUUCCGGGAUGGCCUUCUGCCCGAAAACACCUUCAUCGUGGGCUAUGC
rnacentral:lncRNA from 1 species